UGGGGAAUUUUGGACAAUGGGCGCAAGCCUGAUCCAGCCAUGCCGCGUGCAGGAUGAAGGCCUUCGGGUUGUAAACUGCUUUUGUACGGAACGAAAAGACUCCUUCUAAUAAAGGGGGUCCAUUACGGUACCGUAAGAAUAAGCACCGGCUAACUACGUGCCAACAGCCGCGGUAAUACGUAGGGUGCGAGCGUUAAUCGGAAUUACUGGGCGUAAAGCGUGCGCAGGCGGUUAUAUAAGACAGAUGUGAAAUCCCCGGGCUCAACCUGGAAACUGCAUUUGUGACUGUAUAGCUAGAGUACGGCAGAGGGGGAUGGAAUUCCGCGUGUAGCAGUGAAAUGCGUAGAUAUGCGGAGGAACACCGAUGGCGAAGGCAAUCCCCUGGGCCUGUUCUGACGCUCAUGCACGAAAGCGUGGGGAGCAAACA
rnacentral:rRNA from 1 species